rnacentral:lncRNA from 1 species
GCCAUGGUGGGGCCCCUGCACGGAGAUCCCUUCUGGGUGAGUGCUGGUUGAACAUGGAGUCCAGGGGACACUUCUCCUAGUACUGGGGAAGGGGGCAGUGUUGGUUUGUGCCAGAACCCCUCACUCCUCACAUCUCAACCAGGAGGUGCCUUGGAGAUACCUAAUCUGGGUCUGUCAGGUUGGCUGCUCAUCAGAACCCUUCCCAGAGUGUUCUAAACCACAUGUCUCAGAUCAGUCUCUCUCCUGACCUGGUUCCAACAGUCUGCUUGUAUUGUAUUUUAUUAAACUUUAGCAUGUUUGUGGUGAGUGUGCAUGACUAUAUCCAUGCGUGUGUAUGUGCAUGUGUGUAUGCAUGUGUGUGGGGGGGGGCACAGUUGACAUUGAGAACACUCUUUGAUUGUUCUCCACUUUAUUCCCUGAGGCAAGGCCUUUUAGUUGGGCUCAGAGCUUAACAGUGUGAAUACCUUAGUUAAGCAGUUUUCUCCAGGCAACUGGAAUUACAUGUGGUCCACCACUCCCACUAAGUGUUAAUAUGAUUUGGGGGAUCUGGACUCUGGUCCUCAUGCAUGUGCUGAAGUAGCUUUUGCCACUGAUUUGUCUUUUUUUAAAAAUUUAUUUAUUUAUUAUAUAUAAGUACACUGUAGCUGUCUUCAGACACACCAGAAGAGGGCAUCAGAUCUCUUUACAGAUGGUUGUGAGCCACCAUGUGGUUGCUGGGAAUUGAACUCAUGACCUCUGGA